UUAUUUUCACAGAUACCUGAGAGGACUGAAAGUCCCCUCUGGAAGUGGGAGAGUUCCACUCUCAGCUCCUUAUGAGAGUUUGCGCUGGCUGACUGGAUUUAUUAAGCACAGAAAACUGUAUAAAAUGAUGUGCCAAAGAAAACUGUUGGAACUUUGGAGAAUUCAAUAAAAAAAAAACAGAAAAGUUCACCACGUAAAGAGGAAGAAGGUCAAUUGCUAAGAUCAGCAAUCCACAAGCUUUCGAGCACUGAAACUUCUAAAGAGGAUGACUGUUCUUUAUUUGGGAGCAUGAUUGCAGAAAAUACAUGUGUCUUGCCAAAAAAUAAACGGAGUUUGACUCAGCUUCGGCUGCAAGCAUGAAUAAUUUUGAAGAUGUAUUAUUUUCCUGCAAUGGUGGAAAUGAAGGAUGAGCUACAGUAAUAAUAAUAAUAAAUAAUAAUAAUAAUAAUAAUAAUAAUAAUAAUAAUAAUAAUAAUAAUAAUAAUAAUAAUAAUAAUAUUAAUGACAUUGCAGCG